CGCUAGCUACAGGCUUAACACAUGCAAGUCGAGGGGCAGCAUGGUCUUAGCUUGCUAAGGCCGAUGGCGACCGGCGCACGGGUGAGUAACACGUAUCCAACCUGCCGUCUACUCUUGGACAGCCUUCUGAAAGGAAGAUUAAUACAAGAUGGCAUCAUGAGUCCGCAUGUUCACAUGAUUAAAGGUAUUCCGGUAGACGAUGGGGAUGCGUUCCAUUAGAUAGUAGGCGGGGUAACGGCCCACCUAGUCUUCGAUGGAUAGGGGUUCUGAGAGGAAGGUCCCCCACAUUGGAACUGAGACACGGUCCAAACUCCUACGGGAGGCAGCAGUGAGGAAUAUUGGUCAAUGGGCGAGAGCCUGAACCAGCCAAGUAGCGUGAAGGAUGACUGCCCUAUGGGUUGUAAACUUCUUUUAUAAAGGAAUAAAGUCGGGUAUGGAUACCCGUUUGCAUGUACUUUAUGAAUAAGGAUCGGCUAACUCCGUGCCAGCAGCCGCGGUAAUACGGAGGAUCCGAGCGUUAUCCGGAUUUAUUGGGUUUAAAGGGAGCGUAGAUGGAUGUUUAAGUCAGUUGUGAAAGUUUGCGGCUCAACCGUAAAAUUGCAGUUGAUACUGGAUAUCUUGAGUGCAGUUGAGGCAGGCGGAAUUCGUGGUGUAGCGGUGAAAUGCUUAGAUAUCACGAAGAACUCCGAUUGCGAAGGCAGCCUGCUAAGCUGCAACUGACAUUGAGGCUCGAAAGUGUGGGUAUCAAACAGGAUUAGAUACCCUGGUAGUCCACACGGUAAACGAUGAAUACUCGCUGUUUGCGAUAUACUGCAAGCGGCCAAGCGAAAGCGUUAAGUAUUCCACCUGGGGAGUACGCCGGCAACGGUGAAACUCAAAGGAAUUGACGGGGGCCCGCACAAGCGGAGGAACAUGUGGUUUAAUUCGAUGAUACGCGAGGAACCUUACCCGGGCUUAAAUUGCAGAUGAAUUACGGUGAAAGCCGUAAGCCGCAAGGCAUCUGUGAAGGUGCUGCAUGGUUGUCGUCAGCUCGUGCCGUGAGGUGUCGGCUUAAGUGCCAUAACGAGCGCAACCCUUGUUGUCAGUUACUAACAGGUUCCGCUGAGGACUCUGACAAGACUGCCAUCGUAAGAUGUGAGGAAGGUGGGGAUGACGUCAAAUCAGCACGGCCCUUACGUCCGGGGCUACACACGUGUUACAAUGGGGGGUACAGAGGGCCGCUACCACGCGAGUGGAUGCCAAUCCCCAAAACCUCUCUCAGUUCGGACUGGAGUCUGCAACCCGACUCCACGAAGCUGGAUUCGCUAGUAAUCGCGCAUCAGCCACGGCGCGGUGAAUACGUUCCCGGGCCUUGUACACACCGCCCGUCAAGCCAUGGGAGCCGGGGGUACCUGAAGUGCGUAACCGCGAGGAGCGCCCUAGGGUAAAACUGA
rnacentral:rRNA from 1 species